CCUACGGGUGGCAGCAGUGAGGAAUAUUGGUCAAUGGGAGGAAUCCUGAACCAGCCAUGCCGCGUGCAGGACGACGGCUCUACGAGUUGUAAACUGCUUUUGUACCGGGGUAAAAUGCUCUACGAGUAGGGUUUUGAAAGUACGGUACGAAUCAGGAUCGGCUAACCCCGUGCCAGCAGCCGCGGUAAGACGGAGGAUCCGAGGGUAAUCCGGAAUGGUUUGGUUUAAAGGGUGCGUAGGUUGUUUUAUAAGUUAGUGGUGAAAUACCGAUGCGCAACAUCGGGGCUGCCGGGGAUCCUGUAGGACUAGAGAUCGGAUGCAGCAGGCGGAAUGUGUAGUGUAGCGGUGAAAUGCAUAGAUAUUACACAGAACACCGAUUGCGAAGGCAGCUUGCUAGGCCGGAUCUGACACUGAUGCACGAAAGCGUGGGGAUCGAACAGGAUUAGAUACCCUAGUAGUC
rnacentral:rRNA from 1 species